UGGGGAAUUUUGGACAAUGGGCGAAAGCCUGAUCCAGCAAUGCCGCGUGUGUGAAGAAGGCCUUCGGGUUGUAAAGCACUUUUGUCCGGAAAGAAAUCCUUGGCUCUAAUACAGUCGGGGGAUGACGGUACCGGAAGAAUAAGCACCGGCUAACUACGUGCCAGCAGCCGCGGUAAUACGUAGGGUGCAAGCGUUAAUCGGAAUUACUGGGCGUAAAGCGUGCGCAGGCGGUUCGCUAAGACCGAUGUGAAAUCCCCGGGCUCAACCUGGGAACUGCAUUGGUGACUGGCAGGCUAGAGUAUGGCAGAGGGGGGUAGAAUUCCACGUGUAGCAGUGAAAUGCGUAGAGAUGUGGAGGAAUACCGAUGGCGAAGGCAGCCCCCUGGGCCAAUACUGACGCUCAUGCACGAAAGCGUGGGGAGCAAACAGGAUUAGAUACCCUGGUAGUCCACGCCCUAAACGAUGUCAACUAGUUGUUGGGGAUUCAUUUCCUUAGUAACGUAGCUAACGCGUGAAGUUGACCGCCUGGGGAGUACGGUCGCAAGAUUAAAACUCAAAGGAAUUGACGGGGUCAUAGCUGUUUCCU
rnacentral:rRNA from 1 species